rnacentral:rRNA from 1 species
UACGUAGGGCGCAAGCGUUGUCCGGAAUUAUUGAGCGUAAAGAGCUCGUAGGCGGUUUGUCGCGUCUGCUGUGAAAACUCGAGGCUCAACCUCGGGCUUGCAGUGGGUACGGGCAGACUAGAGUGCGGUAGGGGUGACUGGAAUUCCUGGUGUAGCGGUGGAAUGCGCAGAUAUCAGGAGGAACACCGAUGGCGAAGGCAGGUCACUGGGCCGCAACUGACGCUGAGGAGCGAAAGCAUGGGGAGCGAACAGG